rnacentral:pre_miRNA from 1 species
UCUUACAGAUGAGCAAAGAAAAUGGUUUCUUGAGAUGGAAUCUACUCCUGGUACAGAUGCUAUGAA